CAUCUUCCUCAUUAAAAAAGAACAAAACAAAACCUAGAACCCUAAUUGAAGACAUCAACAGAGCCACCCAGAUCGCGUCUUCUCCAGUCAUCUUCUCCAAUGGCCCUAGAUUCUUCUUCAUGAAGACAAGAGACUCCCAUGGCCGCCCAACCUCUGAUCUCUAAAACACCAUAGCCGACCAGCAUCCACGCCACCUUCAACUGUCACUGACCACCUUUUGCUCCUUCAUCACACACCAGCACACCCCCGGUUCUUCUCCUUCACCUUCGCAGUAGAUCAGCUGUUGUUCCUCCACCACCGGACUCACCAAAAAUAGCACCAAUGGCCGCCAAAUCAUCGAAAACCAGCAGCAGCGGCUCUUAAGUAGCUAAAGAACUCACGUCGCCUUUAUUAGAGCUUGGUUUGUCAUUAUUCAGUCUUCGAUUGGUGACGAUUUUGGGUUGGAAGUGGAAAUUCCAGAUGCAACAGUUGUCAACUUCAGUCAUCGAUGGAGAGUCGAGGUCGAUAGGUGUUCCGUUCGGCAUCGCUAGUCAUGGUUCCCGUUCCAUUGUCGAAAGGUAUGGAUCAAUUUGCAAGAGUUUGAGCAUGACAAAUACCCUAGGACCAUUCUAGUCAAGACCAUUGCAUGCAUGAGCUGCUUGAGGAAACUUUUUAUUUUUUAGUCUAUUUUAUGUUUUUUUUUUAAUUUUUAGUCUUGUACAGUAGUAUCGAGUCUGUCAGUCUAGUUAAGAUUGCCGAGUCUAUUAUUAGAGUACUUCCCAUUUUGUAUUUCAAAAACCAAAAAAAAUAUUAUGAAAAAUCCAAAAAGAUUUUUGUUUUUUAGUU